rnacentral:rRNA from 1 species
AUUGAGCGCUGGCGGCAGGCCUAACACAUGUAAGUCGAGCGGAUGAAGGGAGCUUGCUCCUGGAUUCAGCGGCGGACGGGUGAGUAAUGCCUAGGAAUCUGCCUGGUAGUGGGGGAUAACGUCCGGAAACGGGCGCUAAUACCGCAUACGUCCUGAGGGAGAAAGUGGGGGAUCUUCGGACCUCACGCUAUCAGAUGAGCCUAGGUCGGAUUAGCUAGUUGGUGGGGUAAAGGCCUACCAAGGCGACGAUCCGUAACUGGUCUGAGAGGAUGAUCAGUCACACUGGAACUGAGACACGGUCCAGACUCCUACGGGAGGCAGCAGUGGGGAAUAUUGGACAAUGGGCGAAAGCCUGAUCCAGCCAUGCCGCGUGUGUGAAGAAGGUCUUCGGAUUGUAAAGCACUUUAAGUUGGGAGGAAGGGCAGUAAGUUAAUACCUUGCUGUUUUGACGUUACCAACAGAAUAAGCACCGGCUAACUUCGUG